UACGUAGGGGGCAAGCGUUGUCCGGAAUCAUUGGGCGUAAAGCGCGUGUAGGCGGCCAGAAAAGUCCGCUGUGAAAACUCGAGGCUCAACUUCGAGCUGUCGGUGGAAACUUUCUGGCUAGAGUCCGGAAGAGGAGAAUGGAAUUCCUGGUGUAGCGGUGAAAUGCGCAGAUAUCAGGAAGAACACCGGUGGCGAAGGCGGCUUUCUGGGCCUUACCUGACGCUGAGGAGCGAAAGCUGGGGGAGCGAACAGG
rnacentral:rRNA from 1 species